rnacentral:rRNA from 1 species
UUCUAUCUACAAUGUUCAAUCCCAACUUUUCUGAGUCCUAGUACGCAAGGAAUGGUCUCAGCGAUGCUCGACUAUAUUGGCCCCAUCGACGUAAUCAACUUCUGGCUGCUGCAAAGAAGGAGAACAAAAAGGUUUAGGGAUUAAUAAGGU